AACGAACGCUGGCGGCAUGCCUAACACAUGCAAGUCGAACGGUGGCUUCGGCCACAGUGGCGCACGGGUGAGUAACACGUGGGAACCUGCCUUUCGGUUCGGAAUAACGUCUGGAAACGGACGCUAACACCGGAUACGUCCCCCAAGCGAUUGGGUGGAGAAAGUUUACGCCGAGAGAGGGGCCCGCGUCCGAUUAGGUAGCUGGUGAGGUAACGGCUCACCAAGCCGACGAUCGGUAGCUGGUCUGAGAGGAUGAUCAGCCACACUGGGACUGAGACACGGCCCAGACUCAUACGGGAGGCAGCAGUGGGGAAUAUUGGACAAUGGGCGCAAGCCUGAUCCAGCAAUGCCGCGUGAGUGAUGAAGGCCUUAGGGUUGUAAAGCUCUUUCGCACGCGACGAUGAUGACGGUAGCGUGAGAAGAAGCCCCGGCUAACUUCGUGCCAGCAGCCGCCGUAA
rnacentral:rRNA from 1 species